ensembl:lncRNA
AUAAAAUUUAUGAACCUAAAACUUAAAUUUCAUGUAACUUUGGUAUAUUUUGAAAUAUUAUUCUUUUGCCUUGGCCCAUGAGCCACGGUUUGCAGAUUCCUACCCUAUUGUAGUGCUGUCUAGUGCAGUAUUCACGGGUGAGUCCUGAGCACUUGGAAUGUGGCUGAGUGGAGGUGUGUUUAAAGUAUAAAAGAGGCCCAGGAUUUCCAAGACGUAAUACCAGAAAGUGUAAAGAAUCUCAAGAUUAUUAUGUUGGUCACACUGAAAUGAUAGCAUUUCAGAUAUAUUGUCUCAAAAUAGACUAUUAAUCUCACCUGGUUUCUUUUUUCCUUUUGAAAUGGGCUACUAGAAAACGUACAUGCAUGUAUGUGGCUUGCGUCGUUUUUAUUGGAUGGCAAUGCUGUAGAGGCAAAGUUUCAGCCUCCUCUGAGCACCCUUGGAGAUCAUCAGGCCUGGCUCUGAGACGUCAAGUUCUCCUCCCAAGUCUCACAGCUGCUUGGACAAGGACUCUGGCAUUCCUGUGCUAUCAGCCUGUGGCAACCCCAUCAGGUCAACUUGAUUCAGGGGAACCAACCUCCAAGUCCAGCCCUCUUCUUCAGGGAAACUUCGCUCCUCACUGUGCUUCAAGAUGACCUUUGGCUUCAAACAAAAAUGUGAGUCUGAAUUUGGUAAAGCUUGGGUCUUUUCAUUCUUCCCAGCUCUCCCAGUCCAGAGGAAUAAAUAUUCCUGCUCCUAAAACCCAGUGGUCUCUGUGAAUGAGCUCAUCUAGUCCCUGCUGGCUUUCUGUAUAGUAAUGAAGCUCAUGUUGACCAGCGUUUCUACAUUGUUAUGUCUGUCUGUCUGUCUGUCUGUCUGUCUGUCUGUCUGUCUGUCUGUCUGUCUAUCUAUCUAUCUAUCCAUCCAUCCAUCCAUCCAUCCAUCCAUAUAGCUAUAUAUAUGACUUUGUAUAUAAUAUAAAACUAUAUAUCUAUUAAAUUUAUAAAGAUAAUACUGAUGUUAUCGGGGCAGGAGCCUGAGAACUGAGCCUUUUUGCAUCCCUUUCUCUCUCUGUCUCCUCCUGAGAUCUCCACCUGGAGAAAGGGGAUAAGAAUAGAAUGAAGUUGAAUAUCUUGACUAAGGGAGGUGGUUUCUUCAUCAGACACACUCCUCUGAAUCAGGGGGUAGUCAGAAGCUGGUGCAGGCAGGUAAUAUGGAAUAGCAGCCUAGUUAAAGCAUGGAGGCUGCAUCAAUGCCACACUCAACCCCUCAACAAAUGGGCACAACCAGAACAGGACGUUAAGAACCGGAGAACGCUUCCACAUGCCUGAGAACAAACAGAGUGAAAAGACUGGUUAGCCUAUCUGCUGAUCUGUGAGAUCAGCCCCUUGGAAGCCUUUUCUUCAAUCCCAGGCAUUAUGACUGAAUUCAACCACUCUUGAGAGAUGGACAGAGGAGCUUGAGUCAGGAUCGUGGGGUUCAAAUGGCUGCAAUUCCCCAAGAUAUCAACAACAAAGUUUAAAAAGUAUGUGAUCGUUUUUGUCAAUUAUGUUUUCUCUAUAAAAUAAAAAAAUAAACUUCAGGAAUCACUGACCUAUGUAUCUUAAUAUUUAGAGUUACACUAACAC